rnacentral:rRNA from 1 species
AUGGGGAAGUCGGAGGCGAGACCCAAGGGCUAUGGCGGCAGCGGAAGCCCCGGGAAGAUCUUCGUCGGAGGGCUCCCGCGCGACACCACACUAGCCACAUUUCAGAAGCAUUUUGGCAACUAUGGGGAGAUUGUUGAUUCGGUGAUAAUGAAAAAUAAGCAGACAUCUCAGCCAAGGGGUUUUGGCUUUAUUACAUAUUCUGACCCUGCUAUUGUUGAUAAAGUGAUGGAGGACACCCAUGUCAUCAAUGGAAAGCAAGUUGAGAUAAAGAGAACCAUUCCAAAAGAUUAUAUGCAGUCCAACCCUAAGGAUUUCAGAACUAAAAAGAUAUUUGUUGGUGGCCUUCCCCCUAUACUGACAGAAGAUAAUUUCAAGGAUUUCUUUGAAAAAUAUGGAGCUGUGGUUGAGCACCAGAUUAUGCAUGAUCAUCAAACAAGACGCUCCCGAGGCUUUGGAUUUGUUGUUUUUGAAUCUGAGGAGGUUGUAGAUGAUUUGUUAGCAAAUGGGAAUAUGAUUGAUCUUGCAGGUUCGAAGGUGGAGAUCAAGAAAGCAGAACCAAAGAAAUCCUCAAAUCUGCCAACAUCAACUGGUAGUGAUUCUAGAUCAGCAUAUGGUAGGGAUUCUAGGGACCAUCCUUCUGGGGAUGACCAUGGUGGACUGGCUGAUGCUUAUAGCAGCUACAACAGUGGUGGAUUUGGUCCUUAUAGGAACCAUGGAGGUUUUGUUGGUGGUCACGGCGGGGUACGUCACUACCAUGAGCGAUACAGUCAUUACUAUCCAGGAUUAGGAGGCUAUGAAGGCAUGUCUUCCUUUGGUUAUCCUAGCCGUUUUGGGCCAUAUGGAGGAGGCUUUGAUGGACCCUAUGCUGGAGGGAACUUGCGUGGCUACAGGCGGGGUGGUGAUGAGAGCUUUGGUGGCCCUGGUAGUUCUAGCUUUGAUGGCGCCAUGUAUGCUGGGGCAUAUGAUCCUGCACUAGGUGUUUAUGCACCUGGCGGCACACCUGAUAUGAUGAAUAGGGGAAGUUUUGCCCCAGGACGAUAUCACCCAUAUUGA